UACAACCUCACACACAUUGAGCCUAGCCCUGGGUGUUAGGAGCUCUCUUCCAUGUGGAGAGGGAGCUUCGUUGUGCCUGAAGAUCUCACUGCUGAGCGAGGGAGGUGGACAAAUCUGUAUAGAAACACAGCAUUCAACCAACUUUCCAAUGGAUGGCUGAUCUCCUGUCUGGCUUUCUCCGUCUUGAGAAUUACAUGAAUUUGUAGGACGUCUCUUCUUAAAGUCCUAGGAUCUCUCUUAGCUGGACCCAUCGCCCCCAGAAGCUGUGUUGAUUAGGGCAUUCUGAUCGAUGCGUAUUUAUUAUGGAAGAGUUGGACCAACAGAUAAACAAUGACUCAAACCACCAUCUCGUUGGCAUUGUGACUGAUGAUGAAAUCUGCCACCAGAGCAGAAUGCCAAGAGCCUCCUGCCAGAUGGUAAACAACUUGGGUAGAAGAGCCAUGUCUGCAGCCAGGCCCAGUCGGGAGCCACGGAUUGGGGAGGUGCCCCAGUUUGGACUUGGACUUGCAGCCCAGCUCCCUGCCUUGCUGGCUGUGCAGAAAUCCUUACUCAGACUGGUUGGAACAAUAAGGAUAUCCACCGACCCACAGAGCUGGAAGCUUCAGGACUGGCUUAAUCCAGUGGUCACUUAUUCUCCUGGCCAUGCCCACCUCCUGCACCAGUGUCAUCCUCAGGCUGAUAGUGAGGUGGCCGCAGCACCUGCAGACCUCAAUCCACGCACGACUGUGCCAGAGAUCGUCUCCUGCUGAGGCUGUCUCUAGAGUGACGACAAUAUUUGUAGAACCACAGAAAAUUUUCUCUUGCAUCUUUUUUAUUCAAAUUGAUGCUCAUUUCUGAACUAAUCCCGUGGCCAACGGAAUCCUCUGUAUUAAUUGGCUUUGGCCUGCGUUCUCCCACUGUAAAUUGGGAUACAAUUUGUAUGAUUAGCUCGGACUAAUAAGCCCUGCCCUUGCAGAUGGAGUGGACGUCGGGAAGUCAACAGCACAUGUGUGGUCUCGGACGAGUUAUUUAACUCUUCUGAGCAUCAACACUCUCGCUUAUAAAAUGGGAACAGUCAUGCAGAUUUUGCGGUGGAGAGGACUUGAGAUAAUUCAUGUGAAAUGACAAACACUGUGCUUGACACUUAGCAGGGCUCAACCAAUGAAUAAAUGUUUGAUAAACCCAUUAAUUAAUUAAUCAGUUUCCUGAGGGGGGCAAUGACAAAUAGAUUAUCAUGCCCUCAUCGCCCUCUGGCUGGACAUUUUAGGGCAAAUAAGAAAGUCC
rnacentral:lncRNA from 1 species